rnacentral:rRNA from 1 species
AGGCGGGGUGCUAUAAUGCAGUCGAGCGAACAGAUAAGGAGCUUGCUCCUUUGACGUUAGCGGCGGACGGGUGAGUAACACGUGGGUAACCUACCUAUAAGACUGGAAUAACUCCGGGAAACCGGGGCUAAUGCCGGAUAACAUUUAGAACCGCAUGGUUCUAAAGUGAAAGAUGGUUUUGCUAUCACUUAUAGAUGGACCCGCGCCGUAUUAGCUAGUUGGUAAGGUAAUGGCUUACCAAGGCAACGAUACGUAGCCGACCUGAGAGGGUGAUCGGCCACACUGGAACUGAGACACGGUCCAGACUCCUACGGGAGGCAGCAGUAGGGAAUCUCCGCAAUGGGCGAAAGCCUGACGGAGCAACGCCGCGUGAGUGAUGAAGGGUUUCGGCUCGUAAAACUCUGUUAUUAGGGAAGAACAAACGUGUAAGUAACUGUGCACGUCUUGACGGUACCUAAUCAGAAAGCCACGGCUAACUACGUGCCAGCAGCCGCGGUAAUACGUAGGUGGCAAGCGUUAUCCGGAAUUAUUGGGCGUAAAGCGCGCGUAGGCGGUUUCUUAAGUCUGAUGUGAAAGCCCACGGCUCAACCGUGGAGGGUCAUUGGAAACUGGGAGACUUGAGUGCAGAAGAGGAAAGUGGAAUUCCAUGUGUAGCGGUGAAAUGCGCAGAGAUAUGGAGGAACACCAGUGGCGAAGGCGACUUUCUGGUCUGUAACUGACGCUGAUGUGCGAAAGCGUGGGGAUCAAACAGGAUUAGAUACCCUGGUAGUCCACGCCGUAAACGAUGAGUGCUAAGUGUUACGGGGUUUCCGCCCCUUAGUGCUGCGCUAACACGGUAAGCACUCUGUCCUCUGGAGUACUACAGCAAGUUGUUAUCAUAGACUUAUCGGGGGCCCCACAGCUGUGUAGCAUG